rnacentral:misc_RNA from 1 species
GGAAGUAAAGGUCGUAACAAGGUUUCCGUAGGUGAACCUGCGGAAGGAUCAUUACCGAGUGAGGGUCUCUCAGGCCCGACCUCCCACCCUGUGUUUUUGUGACCUUGUUGCUUUGGCGGGCCCGCCUCGACGAGAGGCCGCCGGAAGCUCACCGCUUUGGGCCCGUGCCCGCCAGUAGCCCCCUUAAAUUCUUAAUAAACCUGUCGUCUGAGUUAAUGGAUAUAAUGAAAAAAAACUUUCAACAACGGAUCUCUUGGUUCUG